AGUAUCAAUUGGAGGGCAAGUCUGGUGCCAGCAGCCGCGGUAAUUCCAGCUCCAAUAGCGUAUAUUAAAAUUGUUGCAGUUAAAAAGCUCGUAGUUAAAUUUCUGCUGCAUUGCUUGUGUCCCUCCGGGGUCUGUGCAUGUGGCUUUUUUCGGACGGAGUUUCUUUGUCUGAAUGUUUACUUUGAGAAAAUUAGAGUGCUCAAAGCAGGCUUUUGCCUUGAAUAGUUUAGCAUGGAAUAAUAAAGUAGGACUUUGGUUCUAUUUUGUUGGUUUUAGGUACCAAAGUAAUGGUUAAUAGGAACAGUUGGGGGCAUUCGUAUUUAACUGUCAGAGGNGAAAUUCUUAGA
rnacentral:rRNA from 1 species